rnacentral:rRNA from 1 species
CACGUAGGGUGCGAGCGUUGUCCGGAAUUAUUGGGCGUAAAGAGCUCGUAGGCGGUGUGUCGCGUCGGCCGUGAAAACCUGCAGCUUAACUGUGGGCUUGCGGUCGAUACGGGCAUCACUGGAGUUCGGCAGGGGAGACUGGAAUUCCUGGUGUAGCGGUGGAAUGCGCAGAUAUCAGGAGGAACACCGGUGGCGAAGGCGGGUCUCUGGGCCGUUACUGACGCUGGAGGAGCGAAAGCGUGGGGGAGCAAACAGG